rnacentral:rRNA from 1 species
UGAGGAAUAUUGGACAAUGGGUGAAAGCCUGAUCCAGCCAUCCCGCGUGAAGGAUGACGGUCCUAUGGAUUGUAAACUUCUUUUGUAUAGGGAUAAACCUAGAUACGUGUAUCUAGCUGAAGGUACUAUACGAAUAAGCACCGGCUAACUCCGUGCCAGCAGCCGCGGUAAUACGGAGGGUGCAAGCGUUAUCCGGAUUUAUUGGGUUUAAAGGGUCCGUAGGCGGACCGAUAAGUCAGUGGUGAAAUCUCAUAGCUUAACUAUGAAACUGCCAUUGAUACUGUCGGUCUUGAGUAAAUUAGAGGUAGCUGGAAUAAGUAGUGUAGCGGUGAAAUGCAUAGAUAUUACUUAGAACACCAAUUGCGAAGGCAGGUUACCAUGAUUUAACUGACGCUGAGGGACGAAAGCGUGGGGAGCGAACA